CACCACGCCCGGCUAAUUUUUGUAUUUUUAGUAGAGACGGGGUUUCACCAUGUUGGCCAGGAUGGUCUCGAUCUCUUGACCUCGUGAUCUGCCCACCUUGGCCUCCCAAAGUGCUGGGAUUACAGGCGUGAGCCACCGCGCCUGGCCUUCUGCUUUCUUUAUCAUAUUGUAGUUCAGUUCCUGUAGUUUCAGGUUACUUAUUGUUAGGGAUGGGUGCUGACAUUUCGGGUCCCCUGGCUGGCAGCCAAGAUUCAAGAGCACUGUUUUCUUGCUGUCAAAUCACAUUGCACCAACAUCAAGUUGGAUAUAAAAGUCCCCACAAGUAUCAAUAAAAGACUGAUGGUGCCUUUUAUUAUUCUUUGGGCUGAAGUGAGAAACUGGAAGGCUAAAAGACAUGCGGAUAAAUGUGACAGGCCGAGUAUGCUCUGUAGUGUCAGCUCCUUCCCAAAACCCCGCUAACACUAUGGCAAAGAAAAGGUAUAAACUUACAAGAACGAAGAAAAAUGGAGAGAAAAAGAUAUCAGAGAAGAAAGAUCAGCAGAACUUGGGAACGUGAAAAGUGGAAGGCUGAGUGCUGUCUUGGCAGAAGGGAAAGCUGAGAGGCAGCAGGCCAGCUCACAUCCAAGAACCUCGGAAGAGCUCAGGAAUUGAAGGGCCACAGCUCCUCCCACCUGUUUUAUUGUUCCUGCUGGACUUU
rnacentral:lncRNA from 10 species